UCUAUGUUUUAGGAUGGACACAAAUACUCGAC
rnacentral:piRNA from 1 species